GACGAACGCUGGCGGCGUGCUUAACACAUGCAAGUCGAGCGGUAAGGCCCUUUCGGGGGUACACGAGCGGCGAACGGGUGAGUAACACGUGGGUGACCUGCCCUCAGCUCUGGGAUAAGCCUGGGAAACUGGGUCUAAUACUGGAUAUGACUCCACGGUGCAUGUCGUGGGGUGGAAAGCCUUGUGCGGCUGAGGAUGGGCCCGCGGCCUAUCAGCUUGUUGGUGGGGNGAUGGCCUACCAAGGCGACGACGGGUAGCCGGCCUGAGAGGGCGACCGGCCACACUGGGACUGAGACACGGCCCAGACUCCUACGGGAGGCAGCAGCGGGGAAUCUUGCGCAAUGGGCGAAAGCCUGACGCAGCGACGCCGCGUGAGGGAUGACGGCCU
rnacentral:rRNA from 1 species